CCCAUUGCUGCCUCCCUGCCUCUCUCUCCUAUGGGCACUGCGUCUGCCUACAUUAACCAUGAUCCUCUCCUGCUUACGUCACAUACCCGGAUGAGACAGUGACCCUGUUGUAUUCAUCCCUGUAGCCUCUUCCUGUCCCACCUCCUGCCCUUGGCCUAUAAAAGAUGUAAUCACUUCCGGAAUAAACCGGGGGCUUGAUCGGAUUUUUUCGACUUGCUUCCAUCUCUCUUUGUCUCCCCUAUGUCUUUAUUUAAUCCCCGUUCCACCUCCAGGUACACCCCACGGAUUGAUCCCCAGACCGGAUCAAGUGGCGCCCAACGUGGGGCUCCUGGCACGGAGGAGUCAACGAGGGAACCGUUUGAGACAGCCAGCUUAAACUGAAAGUGAAAGCAAAUUGAACCAAAGACCUCGGCGAGGAGUGAGCAAACUUAAACAAGGAUUAAAGCUUAAAGCAACAGGACAUUAAAUCAAGUACCGAGGCCUGUGCAGAUGACUACCCAGCGUACCUGCCCGAGUCAUGGUGACACAACCCCCCGGAGCCUUAUGCUGCCUACUCAGCCUUCUCCUUGAGCCAUACCACACCCAUGGUGGAUUGAGACCCCUGCCAAACAGACUACAACUGCUGACAGCCCUGCACAGAACCCCCUGUGACCACGGAAGAGGCUCUUCUCAGUCUGGGGGAACAUAAACCAGCCAAAUAGACUGCGGCCGGUGUUAUGCGAGGCAUACUCCAAGACAUAGGAGAACGACUUCAACAGAGACACCAACAAAUGGCUGCCAACCCCUUCUCCUCGAUAUGUGGUGGGGGGAGCUUUUCCCUUACCUAGCGCCCCUUUUGGGUCCCCUAGCUGCCCUAUUGCUUCUCCUUUCUGUGAGUCCUUGUAUUUUCAGAGGAUUAUGCUGCUCAUUAAUAACCGGAUAGACGCGUUUAUGGCAAAGCCCAUUCAGGUACACUAUCAUCAGCUGGAGAUGGCAGAUCAACAAACCUACCAGGAAGGAAUUCCCACGAGUGGCCCAUAUGACGAUGCGGCCUAACUGCCCUCGGGCAAUGGACAGGCAGUCAGAGACGGGCAACUAGGACAUGCAUGUUAACUCCAUCGGCCGCCUAAGACAGGCACAGGACCAACUGCUGUCCUGCAAGCCCAUGAUGGGUAAGGCCUGGUUGGGUUCAUGCAAUGAGGUCCUUGACCUAAGACAGACGCUGUCCGGCAGGGCCUGCCAUACUCUUGAUUAAAUAAUAUAGAAAGGGAAGAGAUGUAGGGAGCCGAGCGACAGCCCAUUGCUGCCUCCCUGCCUCUCUCCCCUAUGGGCACUGCGUCUGCCUACAUUAACCAUAAUCCUCUCCUGCUUACGUGACGUACCCGGAUGUGACGGUGACCCUGUUGUAUUCAUCCCCGUAGCCUCUUCCUGUCCCACCAGCCCGCCCUUGGCCUAUAAAAGAUGUAAUCAUGUCCGGAAUAAACUGGGGGCUUGAUCGGAUUUUUUCCACUUGCUUCCAUCUCUCUGUCUCCCCUGUCUUUAUUUAAUCCCCGUUCCGCCUCCAGGUGCACCCCACGGAUUGAUCUGCAGGCCGGAUCACUCUGGGGCAGAGGAGCUCACGUUUGGAACUUUGUUUUUUGUCUUGUACUUAGAGAGUUCUACUACACUGUGGAGAUUUAGGAAUAAAAACAAAAUUACUAUAGGGAAUAUGUUCUUGUUUGUGGGAAAAUAUUCAAAAAUUGUCUGACCUAUUUUUCUGGCAGUGGCCUUUUGAUUUCCUUCCCUUAAUACAAUGCUUUGUUUGACUUGAAAAUAAAAGGCAAAAAAAUUAAAAGGCAAAUACACGAAUAUAUAAACAUGUAUGAAUAUGUAUUUGUAUAUACAUAAAAAUGAGGGAAAGAGAAGUGAGGGGAAAGGAGAAGAAAGCCUGAAAACCUGAUUUCUUAUGCUUGCUAAGUGAAAAAGACAGGUGAAAGUGGAAUCAGGCAGGACCUUGGCGCAAGGGAUUCGGCUCAGUGCAUAAGCACCUGCCGGCGGGCGAGCUCCUGAUUUGGGCUCCUGGUGCAGACGGGAAAAAAGAAAGCCUCCCCGCCACCACAGAGGUCCUGAUCCUCUUGCCCUGCUUAACAUCUACUAAAAAUAGCUGUGCAUGGAUUAUAACAAUUUAAGUUUUAAUAACUUCAUCAGGAGAUUGUUUUAUUUUGCUGUUUUGUCUUUUUGAGACAGGAUCUCUCUGCUGCUCAGGCUGGCCUUGAGCUCACAUUUGGAAUUUUGGGUUUUUUUUUUUUUUUUUUUUCUCUUGAGAUGGAGGUCUCA